rnacentral:rRNA from 1 species
UGGGGAAUCUUGCGCAAUGGGCGAAAGCCUGACGCAGCCAUGCCGCGUGUAUGAUGAAGGUCUUAGGAUUGUAAAAUACUUUCACCGGUGAAGAUAAUGACUGUAGCCGGAGAAGAAGCCCCGGCUAACUUCGUGCCAGCAGCCGCGGUAAUACGAAGGGGGCUAGCGUUGCUCGGAAUUACUGGGCGUAAAGGGAGCGUAGGCGGACAUUUAAGUCAGAGGUGAAAUCCCGGAGCUCAACUCCGGAACUGCCUUUGAUACUGGGUGUCUUGAGUGUGAGAGAGGUAUGUGGAACUCCGAGUGUAGAGGUGAAAUUCGUAGAUAUUCGGAAGAACACCAGUGGCGAAGGCGACAUACUGGCUCAUUACUGACGCUGAGGCUCGAAAGCGUGGGGAGCAAACA